GGGCCCGCACAAGCGGUGGAGUAUGUGGUUUAAUUCGAUGCAACGCGAAGAACCUUACCUAGACUUAACAUGUUUGAGAAUCUCUGUGAAAGCAGAGAGUGCCUUUCGGGGAACUCUUACGUAGGUGCUGCAUGGCUGUCGUCAGCUCGUGUCGUGAGAUGUCGGGUUAAGUCCCUUAACGAGCGAAACCCUUAUCUUCAGUUGCCAGCGAGUAAUGUCGGGGACUCUAAAGAGACUGCCGGUGAUAAGCCGGAGGAAGGUGGGGACGACGUCAAGUCCUCAUGGCCCUUACGGGAUGGGCUACACACGUGCUACAAUGGCAGUGACAAUGGGUUAACCCCAAAAACUGUCUCAGUUCGGAUUGGAGUCUGCAACUCGACUCCAUGAAGUCGGAAUCGCUAGUAAUCG
rnacentral:rRNA from 1 species